ACUACCUGAAGUUCCAUCGGUUCUGGUGAAGAGCACUCACCAGAGGUAACGGGGAAAGUCCGGUGCAAGUCCGGCGCUGUCCCGCAGCUGUGAUGAGGUCUGUCACCUCUUAGUCAGAAUGCCCGCCAAUGGUGUCAGUUGUUG
rnacentral:ncRNA from 2 species